rnacentral:rRNA from 1 species
UACGGGGGGGGCAAGCGUUGUUCGGAAUUACUGGGCGUAAAGGGCUCGUAGGCGGCCAACUAAGUCACACGUGAAAUCCCUUGGCUUAACUAAGGAAUGGCGCUCGAAACUACCUCGCUAGAGGGCGGGAGAGGGAAGUGGAACUCUCGGUGUAGGGGUGAAAUCUGUAGAUAUCGAGAGGAACACCGGUGGCGAAGGCGGCUUCCUGGCCCGCAUCUGACGCUGAGGCGCGAAAGCGUGGGGAGCGAACAGG